AACGAACGCUGGCGGCAGGCUUAACACAUGCAAGUCGAACGCAUGCCUUCGGGCAUGAGUGGCAGACGGGUGAGUAACGCGUGGGAACCUACCCCUUGGUACGGGAUAGCUCCGGGAAACUGGAGAUAAUACCGUAUGUGUCCUGAGGGACAAAGAUUCAUCGCCAAGGGAUGGGCCCGCGUCGGAUUAGCUAGUUGGUGGGGUAACGGCCUACCAAGGCGACGAUCCGUAGCUGGUCUAAGAGGAUGAUCAGCCACAUUGGGAAUGAGACACGGCCCAAACUCCUGCGGGAGGCAGCAGUGGGGAAUAUUGGACAAUGGGCGCAAGCCUGAACCAGCCAUGCCGCGUGAGUGAUGAAGGCCCUAGGGUUGUAAAGCUCUUUCACCGGUGACGAUAAUGACGGUAACCGGAGAAGAAGCCCCGGCUAACUUCGUG
rnacentral:rRNA from 1 species